GAUGAACGCUGGCGGCGUGCCUAAUACAUGCAAGUCGAGCGAACAGAUGAGGAGCUUGCUCCUCUGACGUUAGCGGCGGACGGGUGAGUAACACGUGGAUAACCUACCUAUAAGACUGGGAUAACUUCGGGAAACCGGAGCUAAUACCGGAUAAUAUAUUGAACCGCAUGGUUCAAUAGUGAAAGACGGUUUUGCUGUCACUUAUAGAUGGAUCCGCGCCGCAUUAGCUAGUUGGUAAGGUAACGGCUUACCAAGGCAACGAUGCGUAGCCGACCUGGGAGGGUGAUCGGCCACACUGGAACUGAGACACGGUCCAGACUCCUACGGGAGGCAGCAGUAGGGAAUCUUCCGCAAUGGGCGAAAGCUUGACGGAGCAACGCCGCGUGAGUGAUGAAGGUCUUCGGAUCGUAAAACUCUGUUAUUAGGGAAGAACAAAUGUGUAAGUAACUAUGCACGUCUUGACGGUACCUAAUCAGAAAGCCACGGCUAACUACGUG
rnacentral:rRNA from 1 species